AAGUCGUAACAAGGUUUCCGUAGGUGAACCUGCGGAAGGAUCAUUAACACGUAUCCAACGUUAAACAACCCUGUGAACUUUCAACCGCUCUUGUAGCCCACGCGGAACAGCAAUCCCGGUAAAUCAAUUGGAGAAAAGGUUUUGAUUCGGGACCUCUGUCCAUCAGGCUACAAUCGAGCUAGGAGCAGUGGCAUGGUUUCCCUAAGCAGUGCAGAAGGAUCCACUGAGUAAGGAUAACGCCUCACGGUUGCCAGAGGUAACAGUUGUUCGGUUUGUGCCCCAACGUUUCCGUGGGGCCAGAUAGGGCAAGGUGUGAAUGAGGGGGCAUAUAGCCCUGUGACAUGUCUGCCGGCCGGUGAUCAACAAUGGAUAUCUUGGUUCUC
rnacentral:misc_RNA from 1 species